rnacentral:rRNA from 1 species
UACGUAGGGUGCGAGCGUUGUCCGGAAUUACUGGGCGUAAAGGGCUCGUAGGCGGCCAACUAAGUCAGACGUGAAAUCCCCAGGCUCAACCUGGGAACUGCGUCUGAUACUGGAUGGCUUGAAUUCGGGAGAGGGAUGCAGAAUUCCAGGUGUAGCGGUGAAAUGCGUAGAUAUCUGGAGGAAUACCGGUGGCGAAGGCGGCAUCCUGGACCGACAUUGACGCUGAUGAGCGAAAGCUAGGGGAGCAAACGGG